rnacentral:rRNA from 1 species
UGGGGAAUAUUGCGCAAUGGGGGCAACCCUGACGCAGCCAUGCCCGCGUGAAUGAAGAAGGCCUUCGGGUUGUAAAGUUCUUUCGGUAGCGAGGAAGGCAUUUAGUUUAAUAGACUGAGUGAUUGACGUUAACUACAGAAGAAGCACCGGCUAACUCCGUGCCAGCAGCCGCGGUAAUACGGAGGGUGCGAGCGUUAAUCGGAAUAACUGGGCGUAAAGGGCACGCAGGCGGUGACUUAAGUGAGGUGUGAAAGCCCCGGGCUUAACCUGGGAAUUGCAUUUCAUACUGGGUCGCUAGAGUACUUUAGGGAGGGGUAGAAUUCCACGUGUAGCGGUGAAAUGCGUAGAGAUGUGGAGGAAUACCGAAGGCGAAGCNAGCCCCUUGGGAAUGUACUGACGCUCAUGUGCGAAAGCGUGGGGAGCAAACAGGAUUAGAUACCCUGGUAGUCCACGCUGUAAACGAUGUCGAUUUGGGGGUUGAACUUUGAGUUUGGCGCCCGUAGCUAACGUGAUAAAUCGACCGCCUGGGGAGUACGGCCGCAAGGUUA